GGCACUUUAGCUCAGUUGGUUAGAGCGUUCGCUUAACACUGUUGAAUCUUCAUGUUGGAAGAGAGAAAGUGCUCUCGCGAAAGGUCCCCGGUUCGAGCCCGGGAGGAGUCA